rnacentral:ribozyme from 1 species
ACAGCACGGUAACAUAUCUCUCCAAUAAUAUGAGCUUGGGUACACGGGGAAACCCAACACCUUGGGAAGAUGGGUUAUAUGGCUAAAUUGAGCGGG